rnacentral:rRNA from 1 species
UACGAAGGGGGCUAGCGUUGUCCGGAUUCAUUGAGCGUAAAGAGCGUGUAGGCGGCCAGGUAGGUCGGUUGUGAAAACUGGAGGCUCAACCUUCAGAGGUCGACCGAAACCAUCUGGCUAGAGUCCGGGAGAGGAGAGUGGAAUUCCUGGUGUAGCGGUGAAAUGCGCAGAUAUCAGGAAGAACACCCGUGGCGAAAGCGGCUCUCUGGAACGGUACUGACGCUGAGACGCGAAAGCGUGGGGAGCGAACAGG